GCCGGGGUGAUGAAAUUGGUAAACAUAGCGGACUUAAACGAUUGAGUGCCCGGUCGGAAACGGUCGGUGCAGAACCCUUCAAAUUCGGCGAAACCCCUGAUGUGCGCAUCGAGGCAACGCCGAGCCAAGCCUCGCGGCAUCCGCGAGGAAGGUGUAGAGACUAGACGGGGGGCGCCUAAGGCGCACGGGCAGCGGUCACGCCCGCGCGCGACGGUGAAGGCAUAGUCCAGCGCACGAACGGUUCGCGCACGCGACGCCGGCUUUGAAAGAAGCAGUGUGACGAAAAUCCGCCGCCUUAACUGGCUUGCCGGUUCGAGUCCGGUCCCCGGCACCA
rnacentral:tRNA from 1 species